rnacentral:siRNA from 1 species
AGAAUACCCGAAUGGUUCUCAAC